CCUACACAUCUUGUUUCGGGUGCCCUUCACAGGGUGAAACGGGAAACCGGUGCGCCAUAGAUCUAUGGCAAGUCCGGUGCUGCCCCCGCAACGGUAAGCGAGCGAAGCGUCAAAUCCACUGUGCUGUGCAUGGGAAGGAGAUGCUUAUCAGGCUGGGCUCUUUCAAGAGCCGCCCCUCGCAAGCCCGGAGACCGGCCCGAAAAAUCAGAUAACA
rnacentral:ncRNA from 2 species